GGGUUGUGAGGUUAAGCGACUAAGCGUACACGGUGGAUGCCCUGGCAGUCAGAGGCGAUGAAGGACGUGCUAAUCUGCGAUAAGCGUCGGUAAGGUGAUAUGAACCGUUAUAACCGGCGAUUUCCGAAUGGGGAAACCCAGUGUGAUUCGUCACACUAUCAUUAACUGAAUCCAUAGGUUAAUGAGGCGAACCGGGGGAACUGAAACAUCUAAGUACCCCGAGGAAAAGAAAUCAACCGAGAUUCCCCCAGUAGCGGCGAGCGAACGGGGAGGAGCCCAGAGCCUGAAUCAGUGUGUGUGUUAGUGGAAGCGUCUGGAAAGGCGCGCGAUACAGGGUGACAGCCCCGUACACAAAAAUGCACAUGCUGUGAGCUCGAUGAGUAGGGCGGGACACGUGGUAUCCUGUCUGAAUAUGGGGGGACCAUCCUCCAAGGCUAAAUACUCCUGACUGACCGAUAGUGAACCAGUACCGUGAGGGAAAGGCGAAAAGAACCCCGGCGAGGGGAGUGAAAAAGAACCUGAAACCGUGUACGUACAAGCAGUGGGAGCACAGAGCAAUCUGUGUGACUGCGUACCUUUUGUAUAAUGGGUCAGCGACUUAUAUUCUGUAGCAAGGUUAACCGAAUAGGGGAGCCGAAGGGAAACCGAGUCUUAACUGGGCGUUAAGUUGCAGGGUAUAGACCCGAAACCCGGUGAUCUAGCCAUGGGCAGGUUGAAGGUUGGGUAACACUAACUGGAGGACCGAACCGACUAAUGUUGAAAAAUUAGCGGAUGACUUGUGGCUGGGGGUGAAAGGCCAAUCAAACCGGGAGAUAGCUGGUUCUCCCCGAAAGCUAUUUAGGUAGCGCCUCGUGAAUUCAUCUCCGGGGGUAGAGCACUGUUUCGGCAAGGGGGUCAUCCCGACUUACCAACCCGAUGCAAACUGCGAAUACCGGAGAAUGUUAUCACGGGAGACACACGGCGGGUGCUAACGUCCGUCGUGAAGAGGGAAACAACCCAGACCGCCAGCUAAGGUCCCAAAGUCAUGGUUAAGUGGGAAACGAUGUGGGAAGGCCCAGACAGCCAGGAUGUUGGCUUAGAAGCAGCCAUCAUUUAAAGAAAGCGUAAUAGCUCACUGGUCGAGUCGGCCUGCGCGGAAGAUGUAACGGGGCUAAACCAUGCACCGAAGCUGCGGCAGCGACACUAUGUGUUGUUGGGUAGGGGAGCGUUCUGUAAGCCUGUGAAGGUGUGCUGUGAGGCAUGCUGGAGGUAUCAGAAGUGCGAAUGCUGACAUAAGUAACGAUAAAGCGGGUGAAAAGCCCGCUCGCCGGAAGACCAAGGGUUCCUGUCCAACGUUAAUCGGGGCAGGGUGAGUCGACCCCUAAGGCGAGGCCGAAAGGCGUAGUCGAUGGGAAACAGGUUAAUAUUCCUGUACUUGGUGUUACUGCGAAGGGGGGACGGAGAAGGCUAUGUUGGCCGGGCGACGGUUGUCCCGGUUUAAGCGUGUAGGCUGGUUUUCCAGGCAAAUCCGGAAAAUCAAGGCUGAGGCGUGAUGACGAGGCACUACGGUGCUGAAGCAACAAAUGCCCUGCUUCCAGGAAAAGCCUCUAAGCAUCAGGUAACAUCAAAUCGUACCCCAAACCGACACAGGUGGUCAGGUAGAGAAUACCAAGGCGCUUGAGAGAACUCGGGUGAAGGAACUAGGCAAAAUGGUGCCGUAACUUCGGGAGAAGGCACGCUGAUAUGUAGGUGAAGCGACUUGCUCGUGGAGCUGAAAUCAGUCGAAGAUACCAGCUGGCUGCAACUGUUUAUUAAAAACACAGCACUGUGCAAACACGAAAGUGGACGUAUACGGUGUGACGCCUGCCCGGUGCCGGAAGGUUAAUUGAUGGGGUUAGCGCAAGCGAAGCUCUUGAUCGAAGCCCCGGUAAACGGCGGCCGUAACUAUAACGGUCCUAAGGUAGCGAAAUUCCUUGUCGGGUAAGUUCCGACCUGCACGAAUGGCGUAAUGAUGGCCAGGCUGUCUCCACCCGAGACUCAGUGAAAUUGAACUCGCUGUGAAGAUGCAGUGUACCCGCGGCAAGACGGAAAGACCCCGUGAACCUUUACUAUAGCUUGACACUGAACAUUGAGCCUUGAUGUGUAGGAUAGGUGGGAGGCUUUGAAGUGUGGACGCCAGUCUGCAUGGAGCCGACCUUGAAAUACCACCCUUUAAUGUUUGAUGUUCUAACGUUGACCCGUAAUCCGGGUUGCGGACAGUGUCUGGUGGGUAGUUUGACUGGGGCGGUCUCCUCCUAAAGAGUAACGGAGGAGCACGAAGGUUGGCUAAUCCUGGUCGGACAUCAGGAGGUUAGUGCAAUGGCAUAAGCCAGCUUGACUGCGAGCGUGACGGCGCGAGCAGGUGCGAAAGCAGGUCAUAGUGAUCCGGUGGUUCUGAAUGGAAGGGCCAUCGCUCAACGGAUAAAAGGUACUCCGGGGAUAACAGGCUGAUACCGCCCAAGAGUUCAUAUCGACGGCGGUGUUUGGCACCUCGAUGUCGGCUCAUCACAUCCUGGGGCUGAAGUAGGUCCCAAGGGUAUGGCUGUUCGCCAUUUAAAGUGGUACGCGAGCUGGGUUUAGAACGUCGUGAGACAGUUCGGUCCCUAUCUGCCGUGGGCGCUGGAGAACUGAGGGGGGCUGCUCCUAGUACGAGAGGACCGGAGUGGACGCAUCACUGGUGUUCGGGUUGUCAUGCCAAUGGCACUGCCCGGUAGCUAAAUGCGGAAGAGAUAAGUGCUGAAAGCAUCUAAGCACGAAACUUGCCCCGAGAUGAGUUCUCCCUGACUCCUUGAGAGUCCUGAAGGAACGUUGAAGACGACGACGUUGAUAGGCCGGGUGUGUAAGCGCAGCGAUGCGUUGAGCUAACCGGUACUAAUGAACCGUGAGGCUUAACCUUACAACGCCGAAGGUGUUU
rnacentral:rRNA from 1 species